UUUUUUUGGCUCGAUUAAUAUUAUUUUAUUUUUUAUAUUUUUCGUUUCUUCAAAGUCUCGUAUUGAGAGCGCUACAGCGAUGUGGUGCAACGUGCAUGUGGCAUGCAACACACUCAAUUUUGUGGCAUGGCUAGCAGUCUGACCAAGACUUAUGACAGCACAAACUUUCAUCAUGCUUCAACUUUGUGCGCAACAAAAAGGAAUCUCAAGAAUCUAAUAACAGGCACAUCAAAGGUAUCUCCACACCGGGCGCUGCAUUGUGGCACAAGCUAAUCCGAACUCUGCUUGGCUCUCGGUCAAUUGGAUUUGUGCAACAAUUUGCAACUUGCAUACAACAGAUAACUCAAUAACAAUGACAAUGACAAUGGCGAUGGCAAUGGCAAUGGCAAUGGCAAUGGCAAUGACAUUGAGACUGCCUUGACAAGCAGCUGCUGUAUGCAGUUCGCAGCAUUUAGCUAGAGACAAAGCCGUUAUACUGCUCUGCCCCCCCUCGGGAGGCAGUAUUCAUUGAGAGUGGAGACUGCAAUUGAUUGAGCAGAUAAUAAUUUGAUAAGAUUGGCUCUUAUAAUA